rnacentral:rRNA from 1 species
AGUGAACGCUGGCGGUAUGCCUAACACAUGCAAGUCGAACGGCAGCACAGUAAGAGCUUGCUCUUACGGGUGGCGAGUGGCGGACGGGUGAGGAAUACAUCGGAAUCUACUUUUUCGUGGGGGAUAACGUAGGGAAACUUACGCUAAUACCGCAUACGACCUACGGGUGAAAGCAGGGGAUCUUCGGACCUUGCGCGAUUGUAUGAGCCGAUGUCGGAUUAGCUAGUUGGCGGGGUAAAGGCCCACCAAGGCGACGAUCCGUAGCUGGUCUGAGAGGAUGAUCAGCCACACUGGAACUGAGACACGGUCCAGACUCCUACGGGAGGCAGCAGUGGGGAAUAUUGGGCAAUGGGCGAAAGCCUGAUCCAGCAAUACCGCGUGGGUGAAGAAGGCCUUCGGGUUGUAAAGCCCUGUUGUUGGGAAAGAAAAGCAGCAGGUUAAUACCCCGCUGUUCUGACGGUACCCAAAGAAUAAGCACCGGCUAACUUCGUG